rnacentral:lncRNA from 1 species
UUCCUUUUUUUUUUUUUUUUUAAGACGGAGUCUCACUCUGUCAACAGGAUGGAGUUCAGUGGCGUGAUCUCGGCUCACUGCAAACUCUACCUCCCGAGUUCAAGCAAUUCCCACCUCAGCCUCCCGAGUAGUUGGGACUACAGGCACGUACCACCACACUCGGUUAAUUUUUUGUAGUUUUAGUAGAGACGGGGUUUCACUAUGUUGGCCAGGCUGGUCUCGAGCUCCUGACCUCGUGAUCUAGAUGGGCCACCCCACUCCAUUCCUGCAUGGAACCUUAGUCCCCGGACUCUGCCUGGCUC